rnacentral:lncRNA from 1 species
GACUGUAUGCUUGUAGCUGCGCUCAACCUGCCAGGCCACUCCCUUCUCUUAUCACAUUUAUAUCCAGCAUUAAUUCUCAGGUUUCAGUAUUUACUAAUUACUACUACCUUUGUAAUGAUUAGAUCUCAAUCUUCCUAUUUCCCUUUGCAGGCUGGAAGGAUCCCCAACCAUGCUGGGUGCUAAUGCUUGAGGUAUGUACUGGAUGGAUUUGCUCAGCUAAAGAAACAAAUUGCAAUCAUGAAGUGUGUCGGCAAUUGGUUCAUAGUGGCUAGAAGCCUUUUUUUUAGUCUCAAACUUCCUGGGGGAGACCAGCGUGAUAUUUGUGCUUCACAUGAGAUCAUGCUAUCCAGCCACCUGGACCAUCUGAUGUGUUAAGGUUGAAAGUCUGUCCGUUCUACACAAAACCCCAUAUUUUUAUCUCUGUUUUGCAUGUGAUCCCACCACUUGUAUGGUUUUGAAUAAACCACCAGUGUGAACGUUACAUUUGCUAGUUCGGUACUCAUCCAUGUUCAGGCUGUAUCAUGUAGUGUACUCUGUAUAUUGCUUAAAAAGAAAACCAUACUCUGUAUUUUGCUAAAAAAAAGGGUUCUACUCUGCAAAUGCAAUCCAAUACUCAGUGAAAAUAUUCAAAAACUGUGUUACGCAAUUUUCACCAAACCUGCACGUUCCAUACCUAAAUUUUCAACAGCUCGAUCAGUAAUAGAAAAAAAACAAUAAGUGUUCAUUCAUAGUUUUCAGACAAAAUGUUUAAACGAUAGUUGGUAUUGUUAAGGCUCCCCUGUUACUUCUCAAAGCAACCACACCUUUUGUAGCAAAGUGUAUUAACCAACAGAGCCAAAUGUGAAAUAUAUAUAACUUUAUUAAUUGUUAGUAUGCAAAACCAAUAGCAGCUAAGUUCUGCUUAUGCUAAUAGUCUACAUGUUACUUUGAUGUUGAUGCUGCAUGCUCUGCUGCCAAUUUGAUUCUGCAUUCAGUACAUGUGAGUGAAGAAAGAAAGUGUUGUUUCUUUUCAGGCUAGUAAAGCAUCAUUGUGCAAUUCUGGAACAACUAUCACAUAUGUAUGGAACUAAUGCUAGCAAUGUAGCCGCCUGAGGAAGAGGAUGGAACUUUAUUUUCCUGCCUAACAUUUUGGAAUCUCCUUUUUAUAUGCCAUGCUUUUUUGAGCUAGUACAGAUAAAGAUCUAGCCGCAAAGAUAAGGUAAUUUGUUUCUAAUCUACUACACCUUAUAUGUUCAGUGGUACAAAGGGAACUUCUAUAUAUGCAAAUAUUCUCAACUGCAACAAAAUUGUUCAGUUGAGCUACUAAACUUGCUGACAGGAUAAUGCUCAGGGUUAGCAACUUGAAAUUUUUCUAGUUAACUAAAUAAAAUAUUCUGACAGUUUAAAAGUAUUUGUUUCAGCUAGACCACACCCUGUUUGUGUCAGUCCUAUAUUCUCCAGUUACACUAAGAACAUAAGUACACCAGUACGAGUUUGUUUAGGCCUCUACAACAUUGUGGCCAUAGUGGGUGGAUUAGGAUGCAACAUCUGUUUGUAUCCGUUGGUAUGGACAUUUUGCUGCUUGCUAGGAAAUGUUCGUCUCCAGUGUUGAACUGCUGGCCGAUGGUAAUUCUGACAGUUGAAUUUGCAUUGCUAACAUAUCCUGGUAUAUAUUUAGGAUCCUACGCUACUUAUUUAGAUUAUAAACUAAUUUGUCAUGUUAAUGUUUUAUGCCGGUAUAUGUGCCUGCUUACACCCAGAUUUGUUUUGCCUUAUGCAGAAACUACUGGAUACUUGCAUCAAGCUUGACCAAGUAUGUCCAGUAUUGCUUUAGACAUUAGUUAUCUUCCUAGUGUUAUUAUACCUGGCGAUAGAGCUCCAUUGGUUUCUUUAGGCGACAUGCCUGAUUCAUUUAUUACUCUGUAGAGUGAGUGCGUAAAGUUUUUUUUUCCUUUUAUGACUAUUUGGUGCUUUUACCCAACAAGGCAGUAUGUUCUUUUGCAGGGACAAAUGGCAGAAAAUAACAAGUCCACAAGUUGAUCUAAGAUGUUCCGCGAUCGCUUUUGUUCAUAACAUGGUUGACACCUUUUGAUCAUACGAAAGUUGAUGUUGGCUUGGUGAUUGAAGACUUGGUCUCUUCCAUAAUAUUUUGUAGUAGUCAAGUGAUCAAACAAUUGGUCUCUUAGGUUCUUAGCCAUCAAAUUUUGCAACAACUUGUCUUGUAUGUCAACUUAUGUAUUUCCUUCAUGGUUGUUAGCUAACAUGAGUGAAGAAAACAAAUGAAUCUUUAUAUAUGUUGAAUGACAUGUUGUGAUGAAUAGAAGACUGCCAUUGUUUGUAUAUGCAUUGUGUACUGAACAUGAAUUAAAUAUUAUGAACGUGAUCUAAUAUUAAAAUAUGG